AUCCCAUCCCACGUAUUAACUCAUUUAAUCCUUUCAACAAGUAUGUGAAGUAAGUAAAGUUAGUCUCAUUUUACAAAUAAGGAAGCUGAGACAUAGAGAAGACAACAAAUUUUCUGGAGUUCUCACAGUUGGGCUAUGGAAGAAGAAAGAAUUCAAAACCAGAUUGGGUGGCUCCAGAGUUCUGAAUUGAUCUCCCUAGGAGAAUUUUAUCCCUCUUCAUCCUUCUUGGACACUACAGUCAAGUUCUUUCUUAGUUCUCUUGGACCAUUCUGAUUCUAGAAGGACUGACCACCCUGCUACAAUAGAUUGGAGAAUCCCUCAGAUCAGCAGGCCUGAGUAAAACCUCACUGCCAUCAAAGCACCAAAAAUGUGGGCAAAGAUAGCUUGGACUCUACCAGACCAUCUGCCAGCUGACACCAUUGAGUAACAUCCAUUGAUAUUGUGAGGAAGAAAUAAAUCAUCCAGCAGAUCUUGCCCCAAGUG